rnacentral:lncRNA from 1 species
UUAGUAGAUCCAGUGUACCAACGGCCAGUGGUGAUGGUGGGAGGUGAUCAUUUGUGGUGAUGGUGGUGAUUACUGAUUUAAAAUGAAGCGAUAUGAUGCUUGUUGAGUAAGGAGCAGAGAUCAAAGAUCUCGUUGUUAGGCAUCCUUAAGUGACUUGAGUUGCCGCAAACGUUAAAAAGCCUAGAGUUGCCAUGGAGAUUGUGCUCUGGACGAAGAAGAUUUUUUUUUUUAAAGAAAAUUUAAAUAACAAAAAUUUAAAUAAAUAGCUAAUAAGUUUUCAGAAAAUAUAAAACUUUUAUUUUUUUUCUUUUAUAGGAGAAAACUGUUUUUUUUUUUAUUUUUUGCAAAAGAAACAAAAAUUAAAUGACUAAAAUGGUUUUAGAAUCCAGAGGCAUGUGAUAUGCUUGAAUUGUAGAACUAGGCCUGGAUUCAGAAGUUUAUAAUAGGCUUGGACAAUGAGAAGCUCGAUGGCUUAGAUUCAAGGGUUCAUGAUGAACCUGAAUAGUGAAAACAUUUAGUUUGAUAAAAAUAACAUAAAAAGAGGCUCAAUGGCUUGAAAACGAAAAAAUAAAGAAGAUCUGUGGCUUGAAGAGCAAAAAAAAAACAGGAACGGAACCAAUCGUUAGAUCAUUGUGGCUCUAAUACAAUUUUAAGUUAGAUGAACUUCCAACCUAAAACCAAUUGGUGAUAAGUAGAUUGUCUCAUCUAUCUUAUAUACUGAUUAGGAUCCCUUCAAACUAACGAUACACUUUGUGUCUAAUAAUUAUCACUCAUGUUUAUAGUUUUUUUUUUUGGGUCAGAAUCUCUGUUUAUAGUUUAAGCAUGACAUUUUGUGGUUUAACUUCUUCGCCCAUCAUUUUCCUGCAUAUAUGUGAUGCAGUCUUUUUUGUUCGAACGAUCAUUCUGUUUAUAGAGAAUCCUCUAUUACAAAUGAUGAUGAAUUUUGUAUUACACAUUGAUCUUAGUAUAUGUUGUUCUAGCUGAGACACUAGCUAAUUAACGCGCUUCAUACGUAAAUGUCUUUAAAGAUGAAAUUCACAUUUAUUUGCAAAUAAUAGCACCAAUCAAACUACCAGAAAUUUCUAAGGACAAUGUUUUACUGUGAAGACUUGAGAGAAAUAAAUAAACAAAAGAAAAUAGAGAUCUUAUUCACAGCAACCAAAGAAAUUUGCUAAGGAAAAAAAGAAAAGAAAAGAAACCAGAUCGAUAACAUUAAAAGAAAAAUGACUAACCUCUUGAUGCCGCCUGGGAAGAAUAGAGAGAUUAAUUCCUAGCUCUUUCGUUCCUCCAAACAAAAAGAUUUAGGUUUAUGUUUUCAAAGUUAAAAUAUCCCGUUCUUCAGGUAUUUUUCUUAGAUUUCUCGCAACUUGUGGUGUAUCUUCUUAUCCAUUAACCUCACAUUCUAUGAUUCAGACUUUACAACUCUCCACAGACAACAAGGAAACUACGUAACUGUGUGGUAUACUC